CAAACGACUCUCGGCAACGGAUAUCUCGGCUCACGCAUCGAUGAAGAACGUAGCAAAAUGCGAUACUUGGUGUGAAUUGCAGAAUCCCGUGAACCAUCGAGUUUUUGAACGCAAGUUGCGCCCAAAGCCAUCCGGCUGAGGGCACGCCUGCCUGGGCGUCACG
rnacentral:rRNA from 1 species